rnacentral:rRNA from 1 species
AGUGAACGCUGGCGGCAGGCCUAAUACAUGCAAGUCGAACGGCCGCACAGUAAGCGCUCGCUCUUACUGUUGGCGACUGACGGGCGAGUGAGGAAUACAUAGGAAUCUUCUUUUACUUGGGGGACAACGUGGGGCAACUUCUGCUAAUACCUCAUACGUUCUACGGCUUAAAGCAAGAGUUCAUCAGGCUCUUGCUGUCUGUUUUAGCUGAUGCCGCAUUAGCUAGUUGGCUGGGUAAGGGCCCACCAAGGCAACGAUCCGUAGCUGGUCUGAGAGGAUGAUCAGCCACACUGGAACUGAGACACGGUCCAGACUCCUACGGGAGGCAGCAGUAGGGAAUAUUGGACAAUGGGCGCAAGCCUGAUCCAGCCAUACCGCGUGGGUGAAGAAGGCCUUCGGGUUGUAAAGCCCUUUUGUUGGGAAAGAAAAGCAGCAGAUUAAUACCCCGCUGUUCUGACGGUACCCAAAGAGUAAGCACCGGCUAACUUCGUG